rnacentral:rRNA from 1 species
CCUACGGGAGGCAGCAGUGAGGAAUAUUGGUCAAUGGGCGUAAGCCUGAACCAGCCAAGUCGCGUGAGGGAUGAAGGUUCUAUGGAUCGUAAACCUCUUUUAUAAGGGAAUAAAGUGUGGGACGUGUCCUGUUUUGUAUGUACCUUAUGAAUAAGGAUCGGCUAACUCCGUGCCAGCAGCCGCGGUAAUACGGAGGAUCCGAGCGUUAUCCGGAUUUAUUGGGUUUAACGGGUGCGUAGGCGGCCUGUUAAGUCAGCGGUGAAAGUCUGUGGCUCAACCAUAGAAGUGCCGUUGAAACUGGGAGGCUUGAGUAUGUUUGAGGCAGGCGGAAUGCGUGGUGUAGCGGUGAAAUGCUUAGAUAUCACGCAGAACCCCGAUUGCGAAGGCAGCCUGCCAAGCCAUGACUGACGCUGAUGCACGAAAGCGUGGGGAUCAAACAGGAUUAGAUACCCGAGUAGUC